GAUGAAGAACGCAGCAAAAUGCGAUAAGUAAUGUGAAUUGCAGAAUUCAGUGAAUCAUCGAAUCUUUGAACGCACAUUGCGCCCGCCAGUAUUCUGGCGGGCAUGCCUGUUCGAGCGUCAUUUCAACCCUCAAGCUCAGCUUGGUGUUGGGACUCGCGGUAACCCGCGUUCCCCAAAUCGAUUGGCGGUCACGUCGAGCUUCCAUAGCGUAGUAAUCAUACACCUCGUUACUGGUAAUCGUCGCGGCCACGCCGUAAAACCCCAACUUCUGAAUGUUGACCUCGGAUCAGGUAGGAAUACCCGCUGAACUUAAGCAUAUCAUAAGCGGAGGA
rnacentral:misc_RNA from 1 species